rnacentral:rRNA from 1 species
GACGAACGCUGGCGGCGUGCUUAACACAUGCAAGUCGAACGGGCUCUGUCUGGCUGUGUGCUGGGUGGGGUUAGUGGCGAACGGGUGAGUACUACGUGAGUAACCUGCCCUCUUUUUUGGGAUAAGCCUUGGAAACGGGGUCUAAUACUGGAUAUUCCUGUCUGGUCGCAUGGCUGGGUGGGGAAUGUUUUUUUCGGUGGGGGAUGGGCGCUCGGCCUAUCAGCUUGGGGGUGGGGUGAUGGCCUGCCGAGGACGCGACGGGAAGCCGGCAUGGGAGGGGGGGCGGCCACACUGGAACUGACACACGGCCCAGGCGCCUACGGGAGGCAGCAGUGGGGGGUAAUGAGCAGGGGACGCAGGACUGAGGCAGCGACGCCGCGGGAGGGAUGACGGCUGUCGGAUUGUAAACCUCUUGCGGCGAGGGACAAGGCUCUGCUUGGUAGUGGGGUUGAGGGUACCCGGUGAAGAAGCGCCGGCUAACUACGUG